rnacentral:lncRNA from 1 species
AAUACUAAAAGACUCGCCUCUGUCCGGCGCCAAAACCCCAGAAAUUUCUCCGGCCAAAUAUGCUCCACGUGCCGCCAGAGCCUUCGGUGCGUCAGCCCACGCGCUGGCGCGUGACAGCUUUUCCGGCCAGUUUUUCAGGUUGCUCCUUCAGGACAGUUUGGUCGGCUCAGAAUUCCGACCCUACCCAUCCUUUUUUCGUUCGAUUCCGACAACUUUGAAUUUUUUCCAGCGACUUUACUGACUUUUCCGGCACCUACAGUACUUUCCGGCCAGAAUUUCUUCAGGACAGUCUGCUCGCCCUUGAAUACCGAGCCUAUCCAUAUUUUUAUUUUUCAAUUCCGACAACUUUGAAUUUUUCCGGCAGCUACAAUAUUUUUUUUUUUCCGGCGAUACAGUGUUCCAGUAUUUUUUUCCCGGCGAUACAGAAAAUAUUUUUUCAGUUUUCUGUUUCAGUUUCAGCGAGUUUUCAGUUGAUAAUCCAAAGAUGUCUUUGGGACUAGAUGCUUUCGGGUCUAGAAACNNN